rnacentral:lncRNA from 1 species
AAAAAAGGGCAUCCCGGCGAACCAAAAACAAAAAAACAAAAAAAAAGAAGAAAAAUGUUCGGGCAAAAGUUAGGGAUAAAGAAUGAAGAAUAUGUACACCCGGUAAGUCGAAAACCCGCAGGGGCGGCUUAGGCAAAAAUGGGUAUCCCGAUGGAUUGAAAACCUGAAAAGGCGAUCCAGGCAAAAGAGGGAUUAAAGCGAAGGCUACAGUCUGAGUUAUUUGUACUUCAUCGCGCU